rnacentral:rRNA from 1 species
UACGUAGGUGGCAAGCGUUGUCCGGAUUUAUUGGGUUUAAAGGGUGCGUAGGCGGCUUUGUAAGUCAGUGGUGAAAUAUGGCAGCUCAACUGUCAGGGUGCCAUUGAUACUGCGGAGCUUGAGUACAGAUGAGGUAGGCGGAAUUGACGGUGUAGCGGUGAAAUGCGCAGAUAUCAGGAGGAACACCGGUGGCGAAGGCGGUUCUCGUGGGCAUUGACCUGACGGCUGAGGAAGCGAAAGGUGUGGGGA